rnacentral:lncRNA from 1 species
AUUAAACCCAUCUAUCAUCUUGAAUUGUCUCAAGACAAAGACUUUUAAAUUAUGUGAGAAGAGGACUGGUAGAAUACAGAGGAUGGAAAGUUUCCUUUUGAGAGGAGAAAAAAAUGGUGAAAAGAAAAUUCUAGCAAAUAAAAAAUGAUUUGCAAGGCUUCUCCUGUACUUGCUAAGCUGGAGUGCAAUGGAGUGAUCUCAGCUCACUGCAAC